rnacentral:lncRNA from 14 species
GGAAUUCUGGCUUUUCAGAGUUUGUAUAAAUGUUAUUUGCUGCUGAGGGCAUUUUUCCAACACGUAAAAUGUGCAUCUCUUUGUGUGCAUGACAAAGUGAUAAAUCUUUGAAAAGCCAGUUUUAUAGCUAUAUAUUGCCAGUUUUUUGAUUAAUAAGCUGGUCACAUGGAAGUAAAGAUGCUGUUAUAGAAAAAAAAUGUCAAAUUAUGUACAGAUUUUUUUUCCUGCUUCUUCUAAAAUAUUGGCUGUUUCUUUCUACAUGUUGCUCCAAUGAAGCCUUGAGAGGAAAGACGCCUGGAUUGCACAUGUCCCUAAUGAUUUACAGUUCUUUUCUUCCAGCAGAUGCCUAUUUGUUAUCAUAUUACUUUUACCUCCUAGCAGGUAUAGUAGUUUUUAUUCCUGUUAAGUAAAAAAAAAAAUAAAUUUAAAAACCCACAAUAAAUUAGUGCACAAGUAGUUCUUGUGCUGAAAAUAAAUACAAAGUCAGCCACAAGUUCUUUUUUGGAAAACAAUUGGAAUUUAAUAUAACUAAAAACUCCCUGUCAGCAAAAUGAACAGCAAAAUCCAUUCCACAUUUGUAAUUUAUUGCUACUGUUCCCUGCAGGGUGGAUGAAAAUGACCAAACAGCAAAGGCCUUUCUCAGCCUGCAUGGAUAGAUGUCUUGAGGUGCACAGUACUCCCGAGCAGCGCAGAUCAUUCCUGCUCCCAGCACUCUCACAGCUGGGUGAGAAGAUAUCUGGGAACACUCUCUGUACUCUCUGUGCAUUGGUUGUAGCAUCUCUGGUGCUGUGGAAGUCCACAUCUGUGAUCUUUCAGCAAAUUCUCUCUGUGACACACAGCGGCUUGAGGGAUGUCCAAGUGAUGUAA